AGAGAGAUUCGGCAGGACAACAAAAGCCGACCGUAGUGAGUUUGAAUCUAUUGCUCCAAAACAACCACAGUCCGCCGAUGGUAGCGGUUCUGAUCACCGGAAGCGAGAGUAAGAAACUAGAAUCUGGUGCUUUUUAUUUAUUUUUUAAUAUUUGUGGGGCUUUUUGACGCUGGACUGGUACGCGGUAAUGUCACCGGACGAAGGUCUUCGUGACAUCAAUUUUUUGUUUUGGAGACGCGUCGUCCUCUCACGGCAAUUUCACCGCGGUUAGAAUGGACCAUCUGUGGUCUGCUCACCGUCGUGAUAAUAAGAAACUUGAAUUUCGACGAUUUGAUUCCAUUUUUAUUUCUUUGAGGCUCUUUAUCGCAAGGGUGGGGGCGAUAAGCUUACUCGAGAGCCGUCUUUAACUCCUGC
rnacentral:lncRNA from 1 species